GCCUGAGUGGUGGAAUUGGUAGACACGCUAGAUUCAAAAUCUGGUUUCUUCGGAAGUGACGGUUCAAGUCCGUCCUCAGGUACCA
rnacentral:tRNA from 1 species